GGCUCGGUGGUGGACGGUUCCACACCUUCAAUCUACAUGGGGGUUGUCGGUAAUAGAGAAUUGUGGAGGGUCCCCCGUUCGACUCGGGGCUGAGCCA